CGAUUUUAAUAUCUUAAAUAUCUUAAUUUGUGUUCCGAAGAUGAACAAAGGUCUUGCGGGGUUGGAACAACAUGAGGGUGAGUAAAUACUGACAGAAUUUGCAUUUUUGGGUGAACUAACCCUUUAAUGCAGUACUACUUAUUACUUCCUGCAUAGCUACUUGUUAACUACGGACCAUUAUUUUAAAGUGUUAACGAAAAUCCUCAAGACCUUAUCAAGGAGUACCUUGAUAAGCAGCGAGAUGAUUGGGAGGGUGAGCUGGAGCAGUUCACCAUGGCGGUGUAUGUUAUUCGGAAGGAGGGGGGAGAACAUCACGAACCACCGGCUGACAUAGGUGUCGUCAUCGAGGGUGUUAAAGUUUUGAAUGAACUGCCUUCGUUCACAUCAGCUUGUGCCUUGCUUCUCGGGAUGAUAUACAUCAUCAAUCUGGCUUACCCAAAACCGCUUCGUUUUACUUUCGAGGUAUUCCAGAAAGUUCUCUUGCAGCUU